GUGACCUCAAAUCAGGUAGGACUACCCGCUGAACUUAAGCAUAUCAAUAAGCGGAGGAAAAGAAACUAACAAGGAUUCCCCUAGUAACUGCGAGUGAAGCGGGAAAAGCUCAAAUUUAAAAUCUGGCGCCUUUUUGCUGUCCGAGUUGUAAUCUAGAGAAGUGUUAUCCGCGCUGGACCGUGUACAAGUCUCCUGGAAUGGAGCACCAUAGAGGGUGAGAAUCCCGUCUUUGACAUGGACUACCAGGGCUUUGUGAUGCGCUCUCAAAGAGUCGAGUUGUUUGGGAAUGCAGCUCAAAUGGGUGGUAAAUUCCAUCUAAAGCUAAUAUUGCGAGAGACGAUAGCGAACAAGUACCGUGAGGGAAAGAUGAAAAGAACUUUGGAAAGAGAGUUAAACAGUACGUGAAAUUGCUGAAAGGG
rnacentral:rRNA from 1 species